UGAGUAACACGUGGGCAAUCUGCCCUGCACUUCGGGAUAAGCCUGGGAAACUGGGUCUAAUACCGGAUAGGACCUUUAGACGCAUGUCUUUUGGUGGAAAGCUUUUGCGGUGUGGGAUGGGCCCGCGGCCUAUCAGCUUGUUGGUGGGGUGAUGGCCUACCAAGGCGACGACGGGUAGCCGGCCUGAGAGGGUGUCCGGCCACACUGGGACUGAGAUACGGCCCAGACUCCUACGGGAGGCAGCAGUGGGGAAUAUUGCACAAUGGGCGCAAGCCUGAUGCAGCGACGCCGCGUGGGGGAUGACGGCCUUCGGGUUGUAAACCUCUUUCACCAUCGACGAAGGUCCGGGUUUUCUCGGAUUGACGGUAGGUGGAGAAGAAGCACCGGCCAACUACGUGCCAGCAGCCGCGGUAAUACGUAGGGUGCGAGCGUUGUCCGGAAUUACUGGGCGUAAAGAGCUCGUAGGUGGUUUGUCGCGUUGUUCGUGAAAUCUCACGGCUUAACUGUGAGCGUGCGGGCGAUACGGGCAGACUAGAGUACUGCAGGGGAGACUGGAAUUCCUGGUGUAGCGGUGGAAUGCGCAGAUAUCAGGAGGAACACCGGUGGCGAAGGCGGGUCUCUGGGCAGUAACUGACGCUGAGGAGCGAAAGCGUGGGGAGCGAACAGGAUUAGAUACCCUGGUAGUCCACGCCGUAAACGGUGGGUACUAGGUGUGGGUUUCCUUCCUUGGGAUCCGUGCCGUAGCUAACGCAUUAAGUACCCCGCCUGGGGGAGUACGGGCCGCAAGGCUAAAACUCAAAAGGANUUGACGGGGGGCCCGCACAA
rnacentral:rRNA from 1 species